rnacentral:rRNA from 1 species
UAACAAUGAUUUCCCUAGUAACGGCGAGUGAAGAGGAAAGAGCUCAAAGUUGGAACCUGUUUGGCUUAGCUAAACCGGAUUGUAAACUGUAGAAACGUUUUCCUGGCACGCCGGAUUAAAAAGUCCUUUGGAACAGGGCAUCAUAGAGGGUGAGAAUCCCGUCAUUGGUCCGAGCUGUUGUCUUUUGUGAUACGUUUUCAAAGAGUCAGGUUGUUUGGGAAUGCAGCCUAAAUUGGGUGGUAAAUCUCACCUAAAGCUAAAUAUUUGCGAGAGACCGAUAGCGAACAAGUACCGUGAGGGAAAGAUGAAAAGAGCUUUGAAAAGAGAGUUAAACAGUAUGUGAAAUUGUUAAAAGGGAACCGUUUGGAGCCAGACUGGCUUAAUUGUAAUCAAUCUAGGUUUCGACCUGGAUGCACUUGCAGUCUAUGCCUGCCAACGACAGUUCUUUUUGCAGGAUAAAACUAGGAGGAAUGUGGCCCCUCGGGGUGUUAUAGCCUUUUAGAUAAUACUGUGAAUGGGACUGAGGAACGCAGUGAAUGCUGUAUGGCGAAAUGGCUGAGCGCUUUUACUAAUAGAUGUCUGAAUUUCUGCUUCGGGUGGUGCUGAUGUCUAAAGGUGAAACUCGUUUGGUUUAUUUUCUAUUCACUUAGGUUGUUGGCUUAAUGACUCUAAAUGACCCGUCUUGAAACACGGACCAA